rnacentral:rRNA from 1 species
CCUACGGGGGGCUGCAGUGGGGAAUAUUGCACAAUGGGGGAAACCCUGAUGCAGCAACGCCGCGUGAGUGAAGAAGUAUUUCGGUAUGUAAAGCUCUAUCAGCAGGGAAGAAAAUGACAGUACCUGACUAAGAAGCCCCGGCUAACUACGUGCCAGCAGCCGCGGUAAUACGUAGGGGGCAAGCGUUAUCCGGAUUUACUGGGUGUAAAGGUAGCGUAGACGGCUGCGCAAGUCAGAAGUGAAGGCCCGGGGCGCAACCGCGGGACUGCUUUUGAAACUGUGUAGCUAGAGUGCAGGAGAGGUAAGUGGAAUUCCUAGUGUAGCGGUGAAAUGCGUAGAUAUUAGGAGGAACACCGGUGGCGAAGGCGGCUUACUGGACUGUAACUGACGUUGAGGCUCGAAAGCGUGGGGAGCAAACAGGAUUAGAUACCCCUGUAGUC